GAUGAAGAACGUAGCGAAAUGCGAUAAGUAAUGUGAAUUGCAGAAUUCAGUGAAUCAUCGAAUCUUUGAACGCACAUUGCGCCCCCUGGUAUUCCGGGGGGCAUGCCUGUUCGAGCGUCAUUUCAACCCUCAAGCUCUGCUUGGUGUUGGGCCCUGCCCGCUGCGGCCGGCCCUAAAGACAGUGGCGGUGCCGCCUGGCCCUGAGCGUAGUACAUCUCUCGCUCCAGUGCCCGGUGGUAGCCUGCCAGAACCCCAACUCUCGUGGUUGACCUCGGAUCAGGUAGGGAUACCCGCUGAACUUAAGCAUAUCAAUAAGCGGAGGA
rnacentral:misc_RNA from 1 species